GGCCCCGUAGUUCAAUGGAUAGAACGGAAGUUUCCUAAACUUUAAAUACAGGUUCGAUUCCUGUCGGGGCUA
rnacentral:tRNA from 4 species